rnacentral:lncRNA from 1 species
AUAUUAAAAAUAAGCAUAUAGCAUAUAUUAAUUAGAAAUUCAAUUCAAAAUAUACAGCACAAGUAAAAUAGGAUGCAUACGAAUUCAAUCUUUUCAAAAUUCAUUUCCAUUUAUAAAUCAAUUUUUUUUAAACAUCACAUUCAUCUUGAUAUUUAUGAACUAAAUUAAAGUACUACUGCAUAACUCCCAAUGGCAGGAUAUCAAAGUAUCAGCACACAGCCCUC